GGAGGAAGUUGACAUGUUUUGGGAAACAUGAAGCGGGUCACGCGUCAAGUGUGUGAUGAAGGUCCAGUUCCUGAGGAGCAGGAAACGGAGGGGCAGCGGCAGCUCCACAGCCUACUGCUCCAGCAGCUGGAUACAGAUGUUAACGUAGACCGUUGUGUAGCCAAGAAAAAAUGCUUCGCCCCAGCUGCCCUGUACAAGCCCUUUGGUGAGCAGGCAGCGGGAGUGCGCAGCCUGGCCCAGUUCCAGGCACUGCAGGAUGGAGAGAAGGAGCUGGCCAGCUUGAGAGAUCUGGGCCUCACUGACGCUGAGAUCGAGCUGUGGCAGAGCAGAGACCUGACAGAGAGUGAAUGGAAGAACCGGGGAGUACAUGUAGCUCCAGAGGCGAGGGACGCGCGCCUCCAGGUCAUUAGGGACAAGAUGACAGCACGGGCGGAGUUGCUCUCACGACCCCAGCGCUUCUCAGCCAGCCGAGCCCUCUCCCGCAGAGAAAUGGAGAUCGAAAAAUCUCUCUUCCAUGGCAACGACCGCUGCAGCUUCCUUACUGCCCUCUACCAUCAAGAAGAAGAUUCGCAGAAUGGCCAGCAGGGGGCAACAUCCUCAAACCCAAUGGAUACAUUGUAUAGAGACUUCCUCAAAGACCAGCAGAAAGCCUCUGAUUACAGCACAGUGGACUCUCCAUCACCUCAGUUAGCUCCUUCGAAUAAACUUGAUUUGACAGAGACAGGUACCUGUCAUAACUGGUCACCACUUCCCGACCAAGACCCUGAUCAAUUGCACGCCCAUAAAGACUGCCCUAAAUCGUCAGUAAGCUAUGAGCAGGUCCCACCCAUAACUGACCAAACACAGUCUCAAAAUCAAGAGAAACACAGCGGCCUGAAAAUCACAGUGAACCAGCCAAUCGGACGUCUCAUCGCUUCUACCUCACAGGGCCAGAACGGUCCAGUGACAGUCAGUGGCAGGAUAGAGGAGAUUACAGACGAGGAGAUCAGGAACAAUCGGGAGACAGAAGAGGGCAUCAGGAAAAUUCCACGCUUUCAGAACUACCAGUGUGGAGAGCCGUCUAAUGUGCUGUGUGUGAAGAAUAUGAGUCCUCGGGCCUCUCUAGCCCAGCUGGUGUCUCUCUUCUCCAGGUUUCAGAAGGAUGACACACACCCGAUUCUGUACCGCCUAUUGACGGGCAGAUUGAAGGGCCAAGCCUUCAUCACAUUCUCUGAUGUAGAGACUGCACACACAGCUUUGGAUAUGUUGAAUGGGUACAGGCUGCUGGACAAGCCUCUUGUCAUUGAGUUUGGUCGGGAGAGGAAAAAUGCAAGUGGAGACUCCACUACAACUACAACAGAAGCGGUUCUGGAAGACUGCAAGAACUAAUUCCCCAAAUCGUUUUGCUCGUCAUUCUGAAAUUACCACACAGUAAAAUAAUCAGAGGGCCCCCCUAAUCCAUCCUCUUCUUCUGGCUUUGCCAAACACACUGUGAAACUGCACAAGGGAGUGACUUUACCAAGACCUAAAAGGUUGUUCUGGUCAUAGUCUGCU